rnacentral:rRNA from 1 species
GACGUAGGAUGCAAGCGUUGUCCGGAAUUAUUGGGCGUAAAGAGUUCGUAGGCGGUUAUCUAAGUCUGGUGUUAAAGCCCGAAGCUCAACUUCGGCAUGGCAUUGGAAACUGGGUAGCUAGAGUGUGGUAGAGGUAUCGGGAAUUCCUGGUGUAGCGGUGAAAUGCGUAGAUAUCAGGAGGAACACCGGUGGCGAAAGCGCGAUACUGGGCCAUAACUGACGCUGAGGAACGAAAGCCAGGGGAGCAAAAGGG